ensembl:lncRNA
GGGACCCUGGCCCUGAGGGGCCCGCGGGGAGCCCUUGACUGUGAGUGAGCUCUAUCUCCCUGUGACCCCGACCGCUGUCUCCAGCUUCGCUGCUGCGGCUGGACCUCCCCCCAGGACUGGCUGCUGGCGUCCUCCCUGAGGUCCAAUGGCUCGGCCCCCAUCGGCAGUGGAAAAGCCUCCACCGUCUCCCCGACGCCGAACAGCGACUUCUUGCCGUCAUCCCAGACGUCUGGGCAGCUUCUGCGUGUGCCCUGCUCCUGCCAGAACACUUCGGUGAUAAUGUCCACCCCCCAGAGCCCUGCGGAUGCCCCUAGAGCCAGCCAGCCUGCAGCUGGGCCUGCGGCUCGGGCCACUGUGGUCUCUGUCCCGGGCAUGCCUGUGGUCCUGCCGGGUCCAGGCAGCCCCGGGACCCCUGCCCGACUGCGCUCGGGCGAGCUGUGCUCGAUGCCCGCAGAUAGUGGAGUCUAUCAGGAGGGCUGCUCUCGGAGUGUCUACACCUGGUUGCACAACAACCUCAUCUCCAUCGUGGGCAUCAGCCUGGGCCUUGGGCUGCUCGAGCUCGGGGUCAUGUCGCUCUCGAUGUUCCUCUGCAGGAACCUGGAUCACGUCUACAACAAGCUCUCGAGAUACUCUUAGACAACCCCCUCCCCACCCUAUGCCACCUGAGACCCCGAGUCCUGCCCCCAGGACCCUCUCAUCUUUCCUGAAUCAACCACAUUCUCUCCCCCAUACCGCUCUCUUCCAGGGCAUCCUGGAGUCCUGCCCCGAUGCUUCCUCUUCUCCCAGCUCCCUUUCAUCCACUGCAACCCUGGGACCUUGUUCUCUAACAUCCCUCUCUCUUCUUGGUCCAGCCAGGUCCUUUCCUGGAGCACCCUAGAGGGCUGCCUAGGCACCCAGCGACAUUGUGUCCCCACCCCAUCUCUUCCCAAGGAUCCUCCAGCAUCCAGUCUUUGAGUUCCUCACCCCAUAGUGUUCCAUCCUCAGCAGUGUCGGAAGGUGGUGACCAUUGGUGUCCUGCUUUAAAGGUUCCACUGGUUGAUCCCAGUCUUUUAUGCUCCAUCCUUGUCUCAUCCCACAGGGAGCCCUGAUGUCUGAGCCCCAGAACCCUCUUCUCUACCAUCUCCCUUAGCAUCCUAGCUCUCUCUACUACCCUAGUGUCCUUUCCUCCACCCUUCUCUUCUCUCUCCAGGGAUUUUAGUGACCACCAUAGCCUCCCUAUUUUCUUGCUCUGGACUAUCGUAUCCUCUUCUUUCUGGACACCUCAACAUUCAGUCCCUCAGUCCUUUUUUUUUUUUUCCUCCUGGGGAAACUAUCAUCUUAUCUCCCAAUCUUUUCUCCUCUAUUCUGGAAUCUUAGCAUCCUAUUCUCUAGCUCCCUCCCUGUUUUCUCACUUUCUUGUGUCCUGUCUCCCUUUGCUCCUUUUCUACUCUCAGGGACCCCAUUAUUCUCUUUCUUACCCACCCUAGGUACACCAGUGCCCUGUCCUUCAGUUCCUUUUUACCUCCUGCAGCUCCCAACAUCUUGUCACACAGUCUAAUUUCUUUCCUUCUUAUCCAUUUUCCUUUUCAAUUCUUUUUCUGUCCAAUAAAUCUUGAGCUCUGGGUAAGGAAUAAAAAUCA